UUGGGUUUGAGCAGCAACUGGAAUGUUUGAGCUUAGCUGUACUCCUUCCCACAGAGCUUGGGGCCAGGCCACUAGCAGGAACUGCCUGUACCUCUCUGGAAUGCUCAGGAUGAAGGCAGGCGUGGAAAGGCAAGCAUGCCUCCCAGGUGUGGAUUUUCCUACUGCUGGCCACAGAAGGGAAGGCCUCCCCAAAGAAAGCUGGAAAACUCUUCCAAGAGCCAGAAGAGACUUGAUGGGCAAGCACCUCCAAGACUGGAUCACCUUGUGCGAAGAGGCAAGACUGGGUGAAGAGAAGUUUGUUUUCGAAGAAGAAGAAGAAGAAGGAGGAUGAGGAGGAGGAGGAGGAGGAGGAGGAUGAGGAAGAUGAGGAAGAGAAGGAGGAAGAGGAAGAGAAGGAGGAGAAGGAAGAAGAGGAGGAGGAAGAGGAAGAAGAGCAUGAAGAAAUAAAAGGAGAGGGCUGGAGGGCUGGAGGGCUGGAGGGCUGGGAAGAUGGUUCCAUGGGUAAGAAUGCUUGGUAAAUGAACAUGGGGGCUUGAGUUGAAAUCUCUAGCACUCAUGUAGAAAGCCAGGCAUGACCACAAGAGCCUAUAGUCCCAGUUCUGUGAGCUGAAGACACAAGGGCAUGCUUAGGUCUUAGUGGUAUUUCUAAUGGUUUCCUGCCUAUAGUCGUAGCUUUAAGACACAUAGUUUCAGGUUCAGUAAGAAACAUUUUCUCAAAAAAUGAGGUGGAUAAUGGUAGAGAAUGAUGUUGACAGUUCUUCUGGCUUCCAUGUAAACAGAGGAGGGUGCAGAGGAAGAAGCAAAAGGAGAGGGAGGGGGACAAGGAGGAAGAGAAUAAAUAAAAAUAAUGAUGAUGAUACAGGAAGUAAGUCUCGAAGGUUAAAAAGACCUAUGUCUUCUGCUAUUCCACACCAAGCUUGUCUGGACAGGUCUAGCUAUCAGGAUGGGCACACUGUAUAAUAUCAGAGUGAAUGAACAACACAAGAAGGCUGUAGGAACUCACAUUUUAACUACAAUGUCCUCAAGGUCAUAGGAGUCUCCAAACACAGAGAUCAUUCCUGGAAAUCAAAUAGCAUUCAGACAUGCAUCACCAAGUUUAAUAUUUCCAACAUUAGAAGACCUUGGUUAAAUCUAAUCUCAUUUUUUAAUUAGUCCUCAUAUCGCCUGGUGAGGCAGAUUAAUAUGCUCAUCCAUAUUCCACUGAUGAGGAAAAUGAGACAAAAGGCCAUGCCCCAGGGUCACUUGGGGAAUGCGCAACAGAGGUGAAAAUUAAACUUAAGCAUUCCAACAGCAAGGGCGAGGACAUUGGGGAAUAGGCUUCAUCUGUGUUUGUUCAAGGUUUUUCAUGUCUGCAUAAUGCAGAUUCCAUUUACUAUCAGGUUUACAUAAUAUAAAUAUAAAAUACUAAUUCUACUUCAGAAUCCCAAUAUUCCACUUUUAAUGAAUAGGGACAUUUACCAAAGGCAAGCACAGCUGACCAAAACAAGUAUUACAUAGGAAAAUGGGAAUGUUAACAUUUAUAUAAAUUGAUAUUCAAUUUAACUGAAGUUAUAGAAGACUGUCUAGGCCUGGUACCCUCUAGAAGCUGGUUUAACUAGAUGUUCAAAAUUGGCAAGGGAAGAAAAAGUGCACAUCUCCAACUGAAUAAGUAAGAGCCAAGACUUCUUCUCCCUGCAUACCAGGAGUUCAAGCACUGGGUUGAGGACAUCCUGACUGUGUUUUUUGUUUUGUUUGUUUAUUUGUUUGUAUUGAGGAGGUAUUGGUUUGUUGUUGUUUGUUUUUGUCCAAACUGUUACCUGUAUGCAGUAUGAAAGAUAAGGCCAUGGUACUUGAAUCUAUCAACCUGUUCUUUCAAUCCAGUUGACUUUCUCUUCAACACUGCUCAUCCUCAUACCUAACUACAACAUAUUCACCAACUAGAAGAUGAACAUUCUAUUGUUCCAUCAGUUCAGGAAGGAGAUGACAGUAUUCCACAAUCUAAAUCAUAAAUUGGUAAAUUACAAAUCAUAUCACCUCCUCUCUUGCUGAGACUUUUAAUGCUCAACAACUGUCUGAGUACAUAAUGGUAUUAUAUUUCCUGACACACUUAGAGUGGGCUUAAGAUCAUUGGGAAACCAAAUAUAAAUUAUGAGAUAUUUUUUGGUUAAUAACCAUGUGAUUAUUAGUGCCCUCUCUGUUCUUUGCCUGUCUAGAGGUAACCAUGGAGACAGUGUGGAGAGGCUGAAAGAUUAAGGUAGAUGGGUGGCUGCUCUAGAGUAACACUGGACAUUACAUAAUUGAGAAGCCAAUUCUUUAAUUUUUUUAAAUGAAAGAAAUUGGUGUCAUAAGUGGGGUGCUAUCAUAAUAAAAUACUGAAAUGUGACUUGAAUCUCAGUUGGAGCAACAACAAAAAGUAAAGUUGUUUGAGGAAACAAGAAAACAAUUUACUUAUUUAGGAAGCUGUUAAGUAUUUAAACAAAACAUUCCUUAUAGUUUUUAUUUUUGUUGUUGCUUGUAUGUGAAGUAAAUCAUAAGUGUUUAAACACCGAGGUCAGAAUAUUUACUGAAACCUAUUGGUUUAAGUAAAGAGUCUUUUAAAAAUAUCGCUAGGGUUAGUGAGUGGAUGCUACUUUCAUUUCAUAAAGAACUACAAUAAAAAGGAUAUCAGACAAGGUAUCAGACAUAGCCAGCAGAACUGACUAAAUAACAAACAGCAGAAAUUCCAUAGUCAUUGCUACUGAACAACAACAACAAAAAAAAGCUGCUUCUUAGCUUCAGCUGGUAAAAGCCAAAACUGAUUACAGUAGUGCCUGCAUCACAAUAUUGUGCUAUGCUGACAUGAGGAUGCCUAGAGCAUACAAGUGGUGCAGACACUCAGUUAUUCUAAGUAACAUGAUAUAGUAUUAUUCACAAUUUCUAACAAAAUAUAAGUGAUCUAAAAGUAGUUGUUAUUUGAUAUUGUUUAGAGAAUUGUGGUAAGAAAAGAGCCUGUGCGUGCUAAUUACAGAUGCAGUGUUUUGUGGAGUAUUUUCUGUGUCAGCUACUUAAAUCCAGGUUGUGAAACUCACAGGUAUGGAGGGUCAACCACACUGUUUUAUUGGAAAGGCCACCUAAGACAAGCUAAGACAAUACCAGGGAGCCAGGGGACAUGGAAGUCAAAGGCGGAUAUAUACACCAGUUAUUACAACCUUUAAUCAGGUAAAAGCAGCCUGUUGGAGAUCAUUGCAUCUAACAAAAUGACUCCUAGAAAUGACACCCAAAAUUACACCUCAAAUGACAUCUAAAUGACAGAAGCUCAGAAUACACUCACAGAAAUGGCCAAGUGUUUGAAAGACUUGAGAGUUCUGCUCUUAGCAAAUGGAACUGACCAGAAUUAAAUACAUACAAAUUCAUAAAGUCUGUGUGAAGCAUGGUGUCAACAUCACUCUCGGUGUGGAUGAAGAAGAAGCCUUCUAGAUGGAGACUUAGAAAAGAGACUAGGCCUGUUUGAGAUCUACCAGGAGAAAGCAGAUUGCAAAUAUUACUCGGAUUUCCCAAAAGGGAUGUUCAACAAUGCUCCCUUUAUGUGACCAAAGGGGACAAAGGGAAGGGAUGGGCUUCCAAGGCAGCUGAGGCUGGAGCCAAGAACCAUGAAGAAUGAUCCACAGCCACUGGAAGCUACACCCAGGGACCACUCACAGUUACUACCAAAGGAGCAGAGUCUGCUCUCACAGCACAGGCCUUUUUUAAGUGCUGCUCAGCAUAUUUCAUAAUUGCUAUGGAUCAGUGACUUUUAUGUGCGUCUGUCUUCUCCCCUUGAAUGGGAAUGUUUAUUGUAUUUGUCUCAUUUCUGCUCCACUUUGUACCUAGUGCGAGUGUGAUGUGGCAAGUUGGUGAUUUUACACUCCAGAUUAAGAAAAGUUACAUCAUGACCUGGUAUACAUUUCAGGUUCAGAAUUCAAUCCCAAUGGUCACCUUCUAUAUCAUCUUGGCAUGAGACAUGGUGUGUAUAGAAUACAAUAAUCCACUUGUUUGACAAGAGAGGCUGAGGAGUUUUAGUUCAUAGUUGUUUCCAUUUGCCUUUUCUUUGUUGUGACUUCCCUAUAGUUAGCAGUGUCUACUGCUUCCUUCUCCUAUCUUUGGACCCAAGCAUAGGAUCUACUUAGACCAAUGAAUGAUGAAUGUAUGUGAUAUGCAUCACACUCAACCAAAGACUUUUACUGGGUUAGCAGCAUCCCUUUUCCUUCUCAAGAUAUCUCAGAUUAUAAGGUAGCUGCUGACCCUAAAAUUCUAGUUCCUGGGUCCCUUAGAAGGAGACCUAGAGUACAGGCACAUUAUUCAACCUUCAGGAGCAGAAGCAAGAACGAUGUUUUGUUACUAAGACACAGAUAUUAGUGGAUUACUUGCUAGGCAACAUUUCAACAUAAAACAGCUAUGUGCCAUUUCCUGUCAUCUCUUUGAACUUCCAUAUGUUCCAAUGGAUCUUUCAUAUUCACAUCUAUGAUACCUCUUAUAGAUCCAUGUCCAUAAUACCUUCAUCAAGUGAUUAGGUGAAUUUUUUUUGCCUUAUUCUCUGUAUUUCUAUACAAUUUGUCUCACCUCAUUGUAUUACUACCCUUGGAUAGCAAUCUGAUUUUAUAAAAUCUCUAUUGGAUACAUUGUGCUGGGAAAUCAUAGAUCUCUUUGGUAAUCUCAGCACAUAAUGGGCACUUAUAAAAUAAAACCUUGAAUGAAGAAGUUAAUAAAUGUUCCUGAAGGGGGGGUGACCAUAAUUUGUUACUACAGAAAGGAAAGCUCUACUGCAAAUCUUAGUCACUGAGAACAGGGACAAAAAUGUGCUCACUGUAAUACGGGAUGAGGUUCAUACAAAAAAAAAAAAACAAACCAACAAAAAAAGACAGAAAAAAAUCUUUGGUAUGUGUGUUGGAAUUUGGAGGCCUGCUUUCUGUAGCUAAAGUUAGAGAUGGGGAGAUACUUCCCAUGCAUGAAGCAUUGUACAUUCCUGGGUUAGAACAUGUUUUCUUUGGGGGUUGUUGUGGUUUCUUUCUUUCUUUUCUUUUUUCAUUUUUCCAGCAUUGGAAGCAUGGGUGUUUACAAUGACAAUAAUGAAAGCACAAGGCUGGCCCAGUAUGACUCAGGAGAGAACUUAUAAAUGUAGCAAGAGGUAGAGAGUGGAGAAAUAGGGUGUGUGGGGGCAGCGGGAGGGGGAGAAAGAAAAACUAUAGUUGCCAGGAGUUGAAAUGAAGAAAAUGCCAUGGGUGACACGUGGCUGGCACUGUGGGUAGUGACAUCUGCUCUCUGUGAGGAUUCCCAGGCUUCGCAGCUGUGUGUGCAUGUGCAAAUGUAAGGAAACACUAAGCCCUUUGCUGUAAGAAACCUGCUGUUGACUCUGGCCUCACUAGUCUGAAAUGCUGUCUCAGAGUCAGCCUCUUGCUAUGGGUUAGAUCUCCAGGCAACUUACUCUUGCAAAGAAUAUUGGAGGCUAUAAAGGGACUGUGGAAAGAAAGCAAGCCUGAGUGAAGCCACAGGGACACUUUUGACACUUUAGGAUCUUUCCUUCAUGGCCUGAUCUCAAGUAGAAGUGAACGUUAUGUAUAAAGUUGAAGAAGGGAUAGGGGACAGACUGGGAGGAUAAUGACACAGGGUCACUAGGUUAGAGGUUUUGCAACAUGACAGGCAAAAGUCUGUGUUUGCAAAAUUGAUGUGCAGGGCUUGUAUCAGGCUUGGGUGAGCAUUCAGAGUUUCAUGUUUGUCUUCUGAUUACUCUGCUUAGGGAAAUGGAGGCAAAGCAAAGAGCAGGAAUCCUCUAAAGUUUGAGGCACUCUUAGGGUAGCUGCUAAAGGAAAGUAGCUUCUAGCUGUUGAGCUGGUGCUGGGAAGCAGCUGGGAAGCUUCAGGUUUGAGUUGUUAGCCUCCUUAAUCAAGGAUUGAACACUCAAUUGUGUGCCUACACAUGGAAAGGUGGAACCAAAGAGAUGCAAAACGUAGUUCAAAGCUGCUGGCCCAAAAGAAACCAGACUGAAUUACAAGAGCUAUGUGAGGUUUCUGUUUCUCUACUCUAUCUAUGCACAUCUCCAAACAUGGACCCAGCUUUCUUGGUGGUACCCACCACUAAGCAGCCCAUAGACUAUGUCACCUGAAGAGUGGCUAUGUCUCUCCACCUGAGUUUGCUUCAGAAGGCUUUUCAUACAUGGGGGGUAACCAUCAUGAUAAUCUUAUACAUAUGUGCAGUGUGUUAGUGUCUACAAACACUAUCAUGAGUGGUAUCUCACUUGAGAGUCAAAAGAAUUGUAUGUAUCAAGCAAGGGAGACAUUUGCCUUCUUUCUGAGCUAAAUAACUUUAUGAGCUCAGAAAAAGAAAGGCAUUCUGUGAGCCUUGAUCUGCUUUCUUUAGGGCAGAAAUGCUGUCAAAGAGCUGAAAAGACAGAGAGAGUCCAAAUUUCAUCUACCCCCAAAUUCACAGUACAGGAAGAUGCUGACCAUAGGCUUAACAAAAAAGAAUUUGGUAGAAGACUGUCUUAAAUGAGUCAUAAAGCUGAGGGCUUCUCAGUAAUUUCCCCAUUCAUGUGUGAGUUAUGUGUUCCUUUUACCACAAUUGUCGAGCUACUUUUUAAUCCUUAUCCAGCUGCUGUUUUCCUCUUCAAUCCAUGAUGCUCUUAACUUCUUACUUAACUCAUUAGCUGAAAAAUGAUGAGUGAGUACAACACUCCAGUCCCUAUGUCACUACCAUAAGAACUCGAUGUUUGACAGUGGAGACAAAUAAACAUCUACUCCUGGAGCUUCUACGGGAAUAGGGGUGGUCGAAAAACACACACAUAUAUAAUGAGAAUGCAAUGAAUCUAUUAAGAAAUAGUGUCUAUGUAAAGGAAUUAAGAGGGUUAUGUGGUAGGGGGUUGGUAGUGGAAGAUGUGAGAGGGGGGAGAGGACAAUUGUUACUUUCAAUGAAAUGGUCAGAGGGACAAUAUUUGUAGGAGAUAUGCAAGCCACCACAAAGACAUCCAGUUUUACUCUGGAGAACUGAGAAACCUGGAGGUUAAUUUUUAUCGUUAACUUGACACAUUCUAGAGGCACCUGGGAAUGUACUCUCAAAUGAAGUUCUCGCUCCAUCAGAGCAGCCUAUGGCCAUGCCUUGAUCAAUGAUUGAUAAGGGAGGGCUCAGUCCACUAAGGGCAGCCCCAUCCUUAGACAGGUAGGCAUAGUCUGCAUAAUAAAGAUAGCAGAGCAUGUGCCAGAGAACAAGCCAAUAAGCAACAUUCCUCGAUGGUUUCUGCUUUAGUUGCUGUUUACGUUCCAUCAUUGAUCUCCCUCAAUCAGGACUUUCACAUGGAAGUAUAAGUGAACUACCCUUUCCCCCUCCAAGCUACUCUGGUCAUGGUGUUUAAUAGAAAGCAAACUUUAAGUAGGAGUGGUGAAGACUAGCUGUGAAUUUGCUUGCAUUUUAAAAGUAUGUUCUGGAGACUACUUAAAGCAUAUCAUUGGGCAGCAGAGGUAGGAGUGAAAAGAGUCAGGAAGUGUUGUAGCAAUGGAGGUGAUGAUGGUGGUGGAAGAGAUAGGGAGGCUACAAAAGGGUUACUUUGUGGAUAUUUGUAAUAGCAGAGUUAAUAGGAUUACUGAAUAAAUUGGAUGUGACUGGUAACAGAAAAAGAAUUAAAGUAGCAUUGAGAAUUGUGUUCUGAGCAACUAGACAGAAGAACUUGCCAUGAACAGAAAUUGGAAACUACACAGAGAAAUACCAUGAAUUCUUGGAUCCAAUUGGAAACCCUAUAAACCUUACUUGCAGUUAUUUUAACUUUCUUCCCACUUGACUCAGAGGCUAUGGUGGUGUACUUCCUUCUACCUAUCCCUGUUUACUAUGGGGCCUUAUGUCCUCAACCAUAUCAUCUUCAAAGCCAACAAUAUUCCCAGUUCCUCCUAGCAAAGUUCUUCCCAUGGACACCACUCUUCACUCAGAUCACUGUCACUUGUAUUGUAGGAAGUGAUGUUUUGUUCUAUUUUCUUUGUUUUAUUCUAUUUUUUUUUGAUUUAUUGCUUGCUCUGAAUUCAGUUGAUUGCUCUACCAGAUUCUCUGAGAUUUCAAGGAAUGCAUAAACCUAUGGGUCUCUUGUUACAUGUCAACUUUUUUUUUCGAUUCUGCUGCAUUUAAGUAGUCCCAUGUAUGAUCCUCCAAACUUUGUUCUUUCCUGUUUAAUUUUUUUAUGAAGACCAUCUCUAAAACACUCCAUCCCUUUGAUCUGUUUUGCCUUUUACAUUCUUCCUUGACUUCGCUUUUUGCUUCCCUUGUCUUGUUCCCUCUUCUCUUCUCACUCAUGUUCCCUGCAUGAGCUCAUCCUCCUCUGCUGUCAAUUACCUUCCUUACUUUCAGUAUCUCUCAACAUAAGUCACUAUGUUAUUGAGCUUCAGAUUUUUUAUUCAAAUUUGCUGAACUUAUUCUGAACUCAAGCUCCUGUUUUUUGUAAAUCUGACUCAUUUCCUUUUCAGAGGUUAAUAGCAAUACUGAGGAGUUUAUUAUCAUACUAUUAAUUCUUUCUGACUGUAUUUCUCAUGUCCAAUCUCAACUCUCAUCAUCUAUCUCUUGAAAUAAUUUCCUGUCUAUACCUUUGGGUUUUUUCCCCAUGAGCUUUAAUAUCUAAAACUGUGCAGCAUCUGAUCUUGUCAUUUCUUGAUGAGAAAGUAUAUGACACUCUACUAAGUUUUCAGAAAAGUCUAUAUUGCAAGACCCUUCCUAACCUGGACCCUGUCUCCUUGGUUGUGCCUGAGCCUCCAUAUGCAAACAUUCUAAUACAUCUAUGGAUAUCUCAUAUAUUUUCUUAUUCUAGUGCUCUCCACUCAUAUUCUUUUGCAGCCUGUGUGCUUUGUGCUUUGUCUCCAACUAGAGAAAUUGCCAUAUUCUUCGAGGCUACUUGCAAGUGGUAAUUGCUAAGAACCCUUCAAGAACCCUGACAAGAACCUGCUUCUGGCUUGAUCCACAAAUGCAAUGUCUAUUUUCCCCCUGGAGAACUUCACUCAUAGCUCUACAUCAGGAUGAGCAGUGACUCUGAGUAGGUAGAGCCUUGAUUCUUUUAUCCUUAUCUCCUAAUAUCUAAUACUCUACAUAGUCAAUACAUUUUCCUUGAGUCAUUAGUCUUCCAUGAGAUCCAGCUGUGGGGCACUUUUUCAACUAGUGAUCAAGUGGGGAGAGCCCCUUGUGGGUGGUACCAUCUCUGGGCUGGUAGUCUUGGGUUAUUUAAGAACACUUAACAUUUAUCCUAGAAACUUGAACAGAUAUCUGCGUGGUUCUAGGCAGAAGUAAGAAUUUAGAAGUAAAAGAAAAGAAAUAUGCUAAAUAGUGGGCACUCUCUCUGCUAGCCGCCUCUUCUUCACCCCUAUGGUCAUCACCUCUUCCUAAGGGAAGAGUUAUAGCUUAGUGAUCACUAAACAUCUGCUACACCAAGGCUUAGAGUUGGAAAUGUGAGACUAACUGAACAAGACAGUAAGUCACAUCCUUCUGUGGUCUCUGCAUCAGCUCCUGCUUCCUGACCUGCUUGAGUUUCAGUCCUGACUUCCUUGGUGAUGAACAGCAGUGUGGAAGUGUAAGCUGAAUAAACCCUUUCCUUCCCAACUUGCUUCUUGGUCUUGAUGUUUGUGUAGGAAUAGAAACCCUGACUAAGACAAUGGUGAACUUAACAAUUAGGAAGUCAGAAAACAAAUGAACAAGUGAUAACUGAUGCAUCAGGUUCAAGAAAAGCUGAAAGCUAAAUGUUCACAAUGUCAUGAGCCCCAGAAAGUUCAGGUGCCUGGGAAGGCAAGUCCAUGCAUGUGAAAGUUCAUGGCCUGUGAAAGCAGGGCCACUCGUGUGCAUGAUCCCAUGUAUGUGUGAUGGUGUCAGAGUGCACUGUCAUCUUAUAAUAGGAAGUCUGCACUAUAUUAAGGAAAAUCUAGUCUCAGGUAGAGCGGUAGAGGUCAGGGGCCAGAGGACCAGGCAUUGGUCGUCUUCCAAACCAGCUGGGGUAUACUAGCAGCCUUUCAAACUUAGUUCAUGUGUUUCUUCUAUAACAUUAAAAAAAAAAGUCAAAGUGAAAGAAAUAAGUAUACCUGAUGUGGUUGAGGCAAAGAUUAAAAUCUAUUAAUUGGGAUCUGAAAUAUAUUCUUCCUACUACAAAUGAUGUUUGCUGCGGUUUGUAAAUACACAUAAUCCACUUAGAA